rnacentral:rRNA from 1 species
UACAGAGGGGGCAAGCGUUGUUCGGAAUUACUGGGCGUAAAGGGCGCGUAGGCGGCCUGCUAAGUCAUACGUGAAAUCCCUCGGCUCAACCGGGGACUGCGUGUGAUACUGGCGGGCUUGAAUUCGAGAGAGGGAUGCGGAAUUCCAGGUGUAGCGGUGAAAUGCGUAGAUAUCUGGAGGAACACCGGUGGCGAAGGCGGCAUCCUGGACCGAGAUUGACGCUGAGGCGCGAAAGCCAGGGGAGCAAACGGG